UGACCAAUUAUGAUGAGUCAAGAUUUUACUCAAAAAGACCGCACGUUUGGUGGUGAUAGUUGAGAUCGACUUGAGUUGAAAUCGGAACUUUCACUUUCAGACAGAGCCUCCAGUUUACAUGCAGGGUCCCUAAAAGGAUGAAGAAUCUUCUAAAUUUGAACUUGUGCAAAUGUAAAUAUGUAGAUAGACAACUACCAUAAAACAAGAGACCAACAGAUGAGAUUAUAACGAAAUCUACAGAAACAAUAUGAAGACGUGCAAAAAAGGAAAUCUAAAUCUUAAACCUUAUGCCUUAAUACCCAGAAAACUUUUAACUUUCUGCAGCUAACAAUAUACAGGUAAUAAUAAUAAGUCUUUUACAGAUGAUAAUUGUAUUAUCGAAUUAAAAUCAAUAUUGCAGCAAUAAGUUUGUUAUGAACA